rnacentral:rRNA from 1 species
UACGGAGGAUCCAAGCGUUAUCCGGAUUCAUUGGGUUUAAAGGGUGCGUAGGCGGACUGAUAAGUCAGCGGUGAAAUCCCACGGCUCAACUGUGGAACUGCCGUUGAUACUGUCAGUCUUGAGUACAGAUGAUGUGGGCGGAAUAUGUCAUGUAGCGGUGAAAUGCUUAGAUAUGACAUAGAACACCAAUUGCGAAGGCAGCUUGCUACACAGUUAUUGACGCUGAGGCACGAAAGCGUGGGGGAU